rnacentral:rRNA from 1 species
AUUGAACGCUGGCGGCAGGCUUAACACAUGCAAGUCGAGCGGGGUGAUGGUGCUUGCACUAUCACUUAGCGGCGGACGGGUGAGUAAUGCUUAGGAAUCUGCCUAUUAGUGGGGGACAACAUCUCGAAAGGGAUGCUAAUACCGCAUACGUCCUACGAGGGAAAGCAGGGGAUCACUUGUGACCUUGCGCUUAUAGAUGAGCCUAAGUCGGAUUAGCUAGUUGGUGGGGUAAAGGCCUACCAAGGCGACGAUCUGUAGCGGGUCUGAGAGGAUGAUCCGCCACACUGGGACUGAGACACGGCCCAGACUCCUACGGGAGGCAGCAGUGGGGAAUAUUGGACAAUGGGGGGAACCCUGAUCCAGCCAUGCCGCGUGUGUGAAGAAGGCCUUAUGGUUGUAAAGCACUUUAAGCGAGGAGGAGGCUCUUUUGGUUAAUACCCAGAAUGAGUGGACGUUACUCGCAGAAUAAGCACCGGCUAACUCUGUGCCAGCCGCCGCAGUAAAAC